AUUAAGUGAGAUGACAUCAUAAAGGUGGCUGUCAUAUAUUGGAUACUCAACAAACAUUAACUUCCUAUCAGUUGCCUUCUCAGAUAUCUAUUUAUGUCCUUUCUAUGCUGUGGACUUCCUCAGGAUGAGUCAGAGAAGAAGAUGGCAGAAUUAGGACAGACAACUCUAGCCCAACAAGUAAGAACAAGCAAACUGAGAACUUACAAGUAAAAC